rnacentral:rRNA from 1 species
UAACGCGAAGAACCUUACCUGGGUUUGACAUAUACGAGAAGUCUCUAGAGAUAGAGGUCUCUUUGGACACUUGUAUACAGGUGGUGCAUGGCUGUCGUCAGCUCGUGUCGUGAGAUGUUGGGUUAAGUCCCGCAACGAGCGCAACCCUCGUCUUAUGUUGCCAGCACGUAAUGGUGGGGACUCAUAAGAGACUGCCGGGGUCAACUCGGAGGAAGGUGGGGAUGACGUCAAGUCAUCAUGCCCCUUAUGCCUAGGGCUUCACGCAUGCCACAAUGGCCGGUACAAAGGGCUGCGAAAUCGCAAGAUGGAGCGAAUCCCAAAAAGCCGGUCUCAGUUCGGAUUGAGGUCUGCAACUCGACCUCAUGAAGUUGGAGUCGCUAGUAAUCGCAGAUCAGCAACGCUGCGGUGAAUACGUUCCCGGGUCUUGUACACACCGA